rnacentral:rRNA from 1 species
UGGGGAAUAUUGCACAAUGGGGGAAACCCUGAUGCAGCGACGCCGCGUGAGCGAUGAAGGCUUUCGAGUCGUAAAGCUCUGUCCUAUGGGAAGAUAAUGACGGUACCAUAGAAGAAAGCCCCGGCUAAUUACGUGCCAGCAGCCGCGGUAAUACGUAAGGGGCGAGCGUUGUCCGGAAUUAUUGGGCGUAAAGAGUGCGUAGGCGGCAAAUUAAGUCAGAUGUGAAAACUAAGGGCUCAACCCAUAGAUUGCAUCUUAAACUGAUAUGCUUGAGUCAAGGAGAGGAAAGUGGAAUUCCUAGUGUAGCGGUGGAAUGCGUAGAUAUUAGGAGGAAUACCGGUGGCGAAGGCGACUUUCUGGCCUUGAACUGACGCUGAGGCACGAAAGCGUGGGGAGCAAACAGG